rnacentral:rRNA from 1 species
UAAUACGUAGGAUGCAAGCGUUGUCCGGAAUUAUUGGGCGUAAAGAGCGCGCAGGCGGUUUUACAAGUCAGAUGUGAAAGAGGCCGGCUUAACCGGCAAGGGUCAUUUGAAACUGUGAGACUAGAGUACAGCAGAGGAUAGCGGAAUUCCCGGUGUAGUGGUGAAAUGCGUAGAUAUCGGGAGGAACACCAGUGGCGAAGGCGGCUAUCUGGGCUGAAACUGACGCUGAGGCGCGAAGGCUAGGGUAGCAAACAGG